GUCGGAGUAUUACCCAAUCUAUCCUUUUCGGUCGGCCUUUUCGCUGGGACAACAAAAUCACAAAGACACAGGGAGGAUUUGAAUGUGGUGGAGAGCUUGAGGAAUGUUGGAAUCUUCCGAGGAGUUUCGGAUGAGAAUUCUUGUACACUGGUGAUUCUUAAGUUCAAAUUGCGUUUGUUAGCAAGUCGUUGCUCUUCUCCAGUCUCCAGGUUAUUGUCAUCAAAGGGCAAGAAGCCACACAACAAAGCAUAAAGAAGGACUCCCAUGCUCCAAAUGUCUACUUCUGAG